UUCUGGGUCUCCUUCCCAGCCCUCUCCUUGCUUUAGUUUCAGAAGCCUCCCUCACCCAGCAGUCAGAGAGCUUAGCAGACUUUUCUCUUUCAGCAUCUCUGCUGUUUUUGUUCCCUGACAGUCAGUGUAGCUUGUCUCCUCGACUGAAACCCUCAAUUGUCACUCAUGGUUAUUUAAAUUCCUGCUUGGUCUCUCCAGCAUUCCUGCCAUAUCUGGCUGAUUCUGAUGGUUGUUCAGUCUCUUCAGACUGUGGGUGUGGCCUCCAGAAUCACUUGUUUGGUGGAAGUGAACACGACGCACUGGUAAAAAGCAUUUCUGAACAGGCCCUCUGUGGUGGAGUAGGGGGAUUGGGACUCAGGCAUCCAUAGUCUCAUAGCCAGGUACCCCGUAAGCCUUGGGCUAGCCUGUGCUCCCAGACUGUGAACUUCACUUCCUCCCAGGAACCCCUCUUAAGGGGAGCAGGAUGUCUGUAGGCAAGAGGGAGCCUGUGUAAGACCUGAGCAUUCCUCGGAUCCAUGGGCUCAGAUGAAACAUUGCACUCUUUCUGUGACUCUCUUUGCUGUUAUAAGAAAUGGCAGUGCACAUAGAUCAUAGAGCCAGUCCUUUCUAUUCAUUUAUUAUUGGUUCUGACAUUUCUCCCUCUGGCUAUCUCAAGUCUUAACAGUUUACAAUUUACUAUAGGAAAUGGGAGUGGUCAUCACC
rnacentral:lncRNA from 1 species